rnacentral:RNase_P_RNA from 1 species
AGGACAAAUAAUCGCGGCCACAUAAGUGGGUGAGGAAAGUCCGGGCUUCAUAGGGCAGGAUGCCGGAUAACGUCCGGUGGAGGUGACUCCAAGGAAAGUGCAACAGAAAUAAACCGCCGGUCUUAGGACCGGUAAGGGUGGAAAGGCAGUGCAAGAGACUACCGUCCGCAUAGUAAUAUACGGAGCCAUGUAAACCCCAUCCGAAGCAAGACCAAAAGAAAACGAUAGGCUUGCCCGGCCUGUUUUCAGGUGGGUCGCUUGAGGCUGCCGGUAACGGCAGUCCUAGAUAGAUGAUUAUUCAAUGACAUAACCCGGCUUAUCGUCCUGCUUGU